GUCACCUAAUUGCCCGUAGUGUAAGGCGCUUCCCUGCUAAGGAAGUGGACAUUGUCCGCGCGAGUUCGAAUCUCGUUGGUGUCG
rnacentral:tRNA from 1 species